UUCUGAUUCCAAAACCUUGCCUGAGUUUACUGAUAAGAUCAGGUCAAGGUCUGAUGAUCAGUCUAACAGGCUUCUAAAGCUGCCUGCUAAGUCCACAAGGAUCAGCAAGAAUGCAAGGCAUUCCAAAGGAGGAUCCAAAAAGGCACUUAAUACCUGAAGCAGGAUGUGGGCAGGUUGGUGGUACCUCAACAGAAACCCAGGAUUUGAGAAACUCCACUUAGCUGGCACUAAGGGUGCUCAGCAGUUACUUUCUCGUUUUCUGGCUGGAACCUGAAAUUGUGCCUCUUGCCUAACAAAGGUGGGAAAAUGUAAGCUGGAAAACUUUAUUCAUGCACAGGGGCUGUGUUAUAAGUGGAACACAUGAGCUCUGUUCAGUUCAGAUCGCUGUCCUCACGAGACUAACCUGGGCUGUCUCCAUAUGAGUCUGGCACCUUGAAUCUGGAAAACAUGGGAGUUCACACCAAUCUGUGCUCAGCAUUCCAUCUUGGUUACCUUAAGACAUUUCCCCACAUGAAACAUCUCACAUACAAGACUGUAUGGGAAGAUACAGGUGUGUGGUGCAGGCUCCCGGUGGCUGCUGUAGGGCUCUGGCACUGAUUUGUAGGUGUCUUCAGUCUUUUCUUUAGCCAGAAACCAUAGUCCACAGGCAGAAUUGGGGGGAAAAUGGAAUAAAACAAAAGGUGAAAUAUUUACUUUGAAUAGUGUAGAUUCACUAAUGAUGAACCUAUUCCAGUGUUCCUACACAUUUGCUGCAACUUUAGUAUUAACCUGUUUUUCUCUUCCGAAGCUGAGCUUCUCUGUUCUUAAAUUAGCUGGUGACCUAACAAAGCAUUUAAGUAUGUGUAACUUUAAACAUGCAAGUGCUGCCACCGACCUCAGCAGGAACAGUUAUGUGUUAAAGGCGACGUCUGUGCCUAAGUGGUCUGCGGGGUUGCUGCCUUCUACUCUGAGGAUAAUGUCAUACAUAAUGCUUAGAUUAAAUGGGAGGGGAAAGGGAGCAUUCCUAACAUGAUUACAUUCAGGCUUCCUUUUAUGUUUUGCAGAGGAAAACAGUAUGCAAAUAGUGCACGUGCCUGCAUGGAUUCAACCUUUAUUUCCUCUUUUUUGAUCUCCCUAAUUCUGACAAAUACAUUGCCUGUGGUUGUUGAGCAAGAGAGUCUCUCCUCCAGGGACUGUGCCAUGGGCCAUGUGGGGGAGGGGGCACUGUGUAUUUAAGCUGAUCCCUAUUCCCCUGUUUCUUUUCCCCCCCAGCGCUCUUGCUCCAGCUGCACCUCUGCAGAGAUGGGGUAAAUCAUACCUGGGCACUGAGCCAGGGUGAAAAUAAUGGGGGUAGGGAGGGUGCUGCCUUUUUUAAGCCGUCUCUGGAUCUGAUUGACUGCACAACUGCACAAAGAGCUGCACCAGCAUAAUGGAUGGCGUGUAAGGCAACCACUCCAUCAGAGCACUGCCACCCCAAGUGCCACCAUGUUUCCUCUGUGUUGCUGUGGCAGCAGGGAGGAGGGAAGGAGAAUCCAAAAAUGAGUUUCUACUCUCAACUCUCCCCUUUCCUGCUUCUCUCUCCUGCAGGGGAUGGGGUGUAAGGAGUGCAGCCAGGUGUGGUCAUGGAGGUUUCUGGCAUGGUGCUGGUCCCUUAUUCUCUUGCUGUACCAUCCUGCUACCAGCUCCAGCUCAUACUCUUUGUGUCCAUCUCUCUGCUAGAUUCUGCUGCCCCUCAACUGUACCUGUUUGUGUAUCCUCACUGCCAUCAAACCCUGAGAGCAAUCCAUCUGAAAACAAAAUACUGUUCCUCUGGGCUACUUGUCAUCUAACUCCCAGCUCCAGCAUACACAGUGUGCUGGCACAGCACAAGGGGUUGCAUGCAGGAGAAAGAGGAGGGUCAGUAGGCCAAAGGUUCAUUCUGGCACACCAGAGUGUAAACAUGACUUGGAGUAUCCAAACAAACACGGUUUACACAGACAUUACUAUCCUUCAGAGUUAACAUUUUAUCCAUCAGAUGUGGGGAUUUUCUCUCCCUCCAGUGCUGGAUUCCAGUCGUGCAAAUUCUCCAUUGCAGGAGGGAUGUGCUACCAUGGAAUUCAUGUCCUUAUCUCAUGUGGGUCCUGACAGCCUGAGAUACCUGGAUGCCUUGUACAGGACACAUCUUGCAGCGCCCAGCUCUGUGUUUGCUGGAUGGAGUGGUGUGGGAAAGGCAGGACACAAUGCUGAACAACCACACACUCUUUAUAAGAACUUCUCAUCCCACUGUAGUCACCUUCACUAUUGCUGGUCGAGCCCUGGCUGCACAGCUUCCAGCUAUAAUCUUCCAUGAAGGCUGACCCACAGCAGCUGCUUGCGAGCCUCCCAUACACCUGUCAGGUCUGCAGCAGUUCCUAGCUGGAGGACUGUGUCUAAAAAGAGAUUAAAGCUUAUUUUCAGUGUUUUAGGUUGUACUGUGUCAACAGAUGUAACAUUUGGAUAUAAAGUAGGCACUUACGACUUAAUUUUACCUUUGAGUCUGGCAAUGGCUUUUUAAUGGUGUUACUAUGUAAUUGUCUGCAUUGUCUGCCCAAUAGUAUCACUUAAUGUAAUACUUUCUGCUGUGCCUUCAAAGUACUUCAUAAGCUAAUUAUGAAAUGAAUAAUUUAAGUGUAAAUAGACACUGUAUUUGACAAAGCACGACAGAGAGCUGCAGCACUGUGUAAGCUGAACGAGGAGCUGCACAGUUUAUGGCAGGGCUAAGUCAGUGGGAAAAGCACGGAGUGAUAAUGCUCCGCAGCACAAAAGGCUCCAUGAGACUUUUUUUUUUCUGCAGUCCCAGUGAAGAAGAGCUUUGGAAUAAUUCUUGAAGUAACAAAGCUUGUAUUUGAUGUCACAACUUCUUCUGCCCCGUACUUAAACGCAAGACUGAAAUAUACCGGCCAAGGCUGGUUAACAAGUGGAGGAUGCUUGUUUCACUUCAAAUAUAUGCACAGCAGUAAGCAUAGCACAGAAGUUAGGAAACUAUGGCAGAGAGCCUGGAUCAUUGAAUCACAGAAUGGCCUGGGUUGAAAAGGCCCACAAUAAUCAUGUAGUUUCAACCCCCCUGCUAUGUGCAGGGUCGCCAACCACCAGACCAGGCUGCCCAGAGCCAUAUCCAGCCUGGCCUUGAAUGCCUCCAGGAAUGGAGCAUCCACUGCCCCAUCCAAUGCAGCCCUCUGCCUUCUGUGUCCGUGGAGCAUCAGACAACACUGUCAUUGUACAAACUCGAUGAGAACCCCAGCACUCAUAAUAUUAGCACAACAGCAGCAUGAAUCAGAGCAGGUGUUUGCCAAGGCAGAGCAGUCAGGUUAUAACCAGCUUUGGCUGGCACUUCCGCAACACACUGCAUUCUUGGCUCCAGCUAAAAUAGCAGGCAGGAAGGUACAGGGUUCACUACUGACCAGAAAAGAAAAAAAGCUCUUUACAGAAAAUCAGGUGCCCAAACCUGGCAGAGCUUUAGACACACCUAUGGGCAUAAGACACUUGCCUAAGCAGUCAUGAAAGAGUGAAACAUUUGGCUUUCUAGCUCUCAGUGGCUUUAAACUGGAAGAGGGCAGAUUUAGACUAGAUAAUAGGAAGAAAUUCUUUACUGUGAGGUUGGUGAGACACUGGAACAGGUUGCACAGUGAGUUUGUGGAUGCCCCCUCCCUGGAAGCAUUCAAGGCGAGGCUGGAUGGGGCUGUGAGCAACCUGCUCUGGAGGGAGGUGUCCCUGCCUACAGCAGGGGGUGGAACUGGAUGAUCUUAAAGGUCCCUUCCAACCCAAACUGUUCUGUGAUUCUAUAAUUCUAUGACCUUGUUUGUUUCCACUCAGGUUGGCUGAUGUUUUAUCUGCACAGAUUCAUCAGAUUGUGGGACCAUUACGGCUGGAAAAGACCACCAGUAUCCCCAAGGCCAACCCCAGCCCACCCCACCGUGCCCACCGCCCACAUCCCUCAGUGCCACAUCUCCGCGGUUCUGGAACACCUCCAGCGACGGUGACCCCACCACUCCCUGGGCAGCUGUGCCACUGCAUCACCAUUCUUCCAGAGAAGAAAUGGGAAGUGGUUUUGGGGAAGUUACCUAUUUCUACGGAUAGCUAGCUGAACUCUGCCAUCUCGCUCUCAUUACCUGUACCCCCUAACAUUGUAAAAUCCAUAGCCAAAAGCUACACAGUACCGAAAGGAACAAAUAGAAGGAAUUCCUUCCUAUCUUAUUUGAAGAAAGAAAGAAAGAAAAGCAGCCCACCCUCCGCCGAAGUUCUGAAAACCCUUGAAGUUGGUGUGUCCACACAGUCGGUCCCAUUCACCCCUGGGCACUGCCCGGGCAAUGCCAGCUGCCGCCGCCCUGCUUGGGACCCGCGGAGGGAAGGUGGCCCUGCGCGGAACUGUGCGCGGCACUGAAGGGAAAACCGCGGCAUUCCGGCCGGGAGCGCCGGACAACGAGCGAAAGCAGCCGGGAGCGGCUCCCAGGCGGC
ensembl:lncRNA